GAGCUCUCUUCAGAGACGACUCCGAAGCUUCUCUUCGCCUUCUUCAGACACGACUCCGGAGCUUUCUUCGGACACGACUUCGAAGCUGUUCUUCGCCCUCGAAGACUAUCCCGCGAACAUAACGUGCCCUCGAUUUCGCCUCAAGGUUACUUGACAAUAAUAAUUUAUCAGGGCAUCUUCCGUGAGAGCUCGCCAAUCUGCCUAGUCUACUGAUACUUCAACUGGACAACAACCACUUUGAUGGGGCUACAAUACCAGAUUCUUAUGGCAACAUGUCUCCAUUGUUGAAGUUGAGUCUUAGGAACUGUUGCUUGCAAGGACAAAUCCCUGACCUGAGCAGGAUACCACACCUUGCUUAUAUACAUGCAGGAGCUCAAAGGUUUUGCUAAAAGUCAAGGUGCUGUGUAGAAUCUAAAGAAUUGACCCACUGGGACAUUAAUUUCUGGAGUGAGAGACUUCGAGAGUCAAGUUAUAACUUAAAUGAGAAAUGUUCAAUUUCUAAUUCCUAGCAAUCCAUUAGAGCUGCUUUCAACUUGGGGGGAGCAUGAUACAAUUGUUUUUCUGAAGAAAAAGUUGGAGAUUGUGCCCCCUUGGCAUGUUCUCUAAUAAAAUUUUCUUUCAUUGUUAUAAAAAAAAAAUGUGAAACUUUUAAAGAUGAUUUAGCAGGGUAUAUAUGUUUAUUCAAAUAGGGUAGUUUUUCCAUCGCAUAAGGCAUCAAAUGGCAUAUCUAAUGAUGUGGAUUUAGCGUCACAAAUUACAGAAGGAUUUAUUUGUUUAAUAUUUUUGUUUUUGCUUUUUUACCAGUUUGGCAUAAUACUACUUGAGUUUAAGAAUCUAAGGUUGGUCAGGAUUUGUGGUACUUUUAGGGUUUGAAUAGGUUUAAAGACACAGUGUAAAACCAGAGUGGUACUCAUUGGUUUUAAGAGAGGGUUUUGUUAUCACUAGAGUCAUCGAGAGAGGGGCAAAAAGGAUAAAGAUGAAGACCAAAUCAAGGACAGAGGUUGACAGCGUGUAUGGGGAGACAACCAAGAUCAGCUUAACCAUCCAAGUUCUAGAAAUUGCACCUUUCACUUUUCUACAUAUUGUGGUUUUCUCUUCCAGUGCUUUAUGCAGUGCAGUUCUGCUGGUUCAGUGAGAACUUGAACAUGUGAUAUGUGCCUAAGCUUCGUUAAACUAUAUAUGUCAUCAUGGACAUCAGGUUGCAUUUCACUUGUUCAGAGGAGUGUUUGCAACUACUAAAGCUCAUCGCGUUUUGGUGGCAGGUCCUUGU